GCCAAGAGCGUGACAAUGGAGGAU
rnacentral:siRNA from 1 species